rnacentral:rRNA from 1 species
CCUACGGGAGGCAGCAGUGGGGAAUAUUGCACAAUGGGGGAAACCCUGAUGCAGCGACGCCGCGUGAGUGAAGAAGUAUUUCGGUAUGUAAAGCUCUAUCAGCAGGGAAGAAAAUGACGGUACCUGAUUCAGAAGCCCCGGCUAACUACGUGCCAGCAGCCGCGGUAAUACGUAGGGGGCAAGCGGUAUCCGGAUUUACUGGGUGUAAAGGGAGCGUAGACGGCAGCGCAAGUCUGAAGUGAAAUGCCGGGGCUUAACCCCGGAACUGCUUUGGAAACUGUGCAGCUAGAGUGCAGGAGAGGUAAGUGGAAUUCCUAGUGUAGCGGUGAAAUGCGUAGAUAGUAGGAGGAACACCAGUGGCGAAGGCGGCUUACUGGACUGUAACUGACGUUGAGGCUCGAAAGCGUGGGGAGCAAACAGGAUUAGAUACCCUAGUAGUC